CGCGGCCUAUCAGCUUGUUGGUGAGGUAACGGCUCACCAAGGCAUCGACGGGUAGCUGGUCUGAGAGGACGAUCAGCCACACUGGGACUGAGACACGGCCCAGACUCCUGCGGGAGGCAGCAGUGGGGAAUCUUGCGCAAUGGGCGAAAGCCUGACGCAGCAACGCCGCGUGGGGGAUGAAGGCUCUCGGGUUGUAAACCCCUUUCAGCAGGGACGAAAUUGACGGUACCUGCAGAAGAAGCCCCGGCCAACUACGUGCCAGCAGCCGCGGUGACACGUAGGGGGCGAGCGUUGUCCGGAAUUAUUGGGCGUAAAGAGCUCGUAGGCGGUUUAGUAAGUCAGAUGUGAAAGGUUGGGGCUCAACCCUAAGACUGCAUCCGAUACUGCUAUGACUAGAGUCCGGUAGAGGAGUGUGGAAUUCCUGGCGUAGCGGUGAAAUGCGCAGAUAUCAGGAGGAACACCGACGGCGAAGGCAGCACUCUGGGCCGGUACUGACGCUCAGGAGCGAAAGCGUGGGUAGCAAACAGGAUUAGAUACCCUGGUAGUCCACGCCGUAAACGUUGGGCACUAGGUGUGGGGCCUUAUCAACGGGUUCCGUGCCGUAGCUAACGCAUUAAGUGCCCCGCCUGGGGAGUACGG
rnacentral:rRNA from 1 species